AACGAACGCUGGCGGCAUGCCUAACACAUGCAAGUCGAACGAGACCUUCGGGUCUAGUGGCGCACGGGUGCGUAACGCGUGGGAACCUGCCCUUAGGUUCGGAAUAACUCCCCGAAAGGGGUGCUAAUACCGGAUAAUGUCUUCGGACCAAAGAUUUAUCGCCUUUGGAUGGGCCCGCGUUGGAUUAGCUAGUUGGUAGGGUAAAAGCCUACCAAGGCGACGAUCCAUAGCUGGUCUGAGAGGAUGAUCAGCCACACUGGGACUGAGACACGGCCCAGACUCCUACGGGAGGCAGCAGUGGGGAAUAUUGGACAAUGGGCGAGAGCCUGAUCCAGCAAUGCCGGGUGAGUGAUGAAGGCCUUAGGGUUGUAAAGCUCUUUUACCCGGGAUGAUAAUGACAGUACCGGGAGAAUAAGCUCCGGCUAACUCCGUG
rnacentral:rRNA from 1 species